rnacentral:rRNA from 1 species
GAUGAACGCUGGCGGCGUGCUUAACACAUGCAAGUCGAACGGAAAGGCCCAAGCUUGCUUGGGUACUCGAGUGGCGAACGGGUGAGUAACACGUGGGUGAUCUGCCCUGCACUUCGGGAUAAGCCUGGGAAACUGGGGCUAAUACCGGAUAGGACCACAUUUUGGAUGGUGGGGGGGAGAGUUUUUCGGUGUGGGAUGAUCUCGCGGCCUAUCAUCUUGUUGGUGGGGUAGUGGCCUACCAAGGCGUCGACGGGUAGCCGGCCUGGGAGGGUGUACGGCCACCUUGGGGAUGGGAAACGGCCCAGAACCCCACGGGGGGGAAGAGGGGGGAAUAAUGCACAAUGGGGGCAAGCCCGAUGCAGCGAAGGCGGGUGGGGGAAGAAGGCCUUCCGGUUGUAAACCCGUUUCGCUAGGGAAGAAGGGUUAUGUGACGGUAACUGGAGAAGAAGCACCGGCUAACUACGUG